rnacentral:rRNA from 1 species
AGCAGCCGCGGUAAUUCCAGCUCCAAUAGCGUAUAUUAAAGUUGUUGCAGUUAAAAAGCUCGUAGUUGAACUUCGGGGUUUACCCAUUGGUCAGGUUUAAUUAUCUGUACUGGUGAGAUAAAUCUCUACCUUCUGAGGAGCUUUCAUGCCAUUUAUUUGGUGUGGGAGGAAAUCAGGACUGUUACUUUGAAAAAAUUAGAGUGUUUAAAGCAGGCUAACGUCUGAAUACAUUAGCAUGGAAUAAUGAAAUAGGACGGACUGAUUCUAUUUCGUUGGUUUCUAGGAUCACCGUAAUGAUUAAUAGGGAUAGUUGGGGGCAUUAGUAUUCAAUUGUCAGAGGUGAAAUUCUUGGAUUUAUUGAAGACUAACUACUGCGAAAGCAUUUGCCAAGGAUGUUUUCAUUAAUCAAGAACGAAAGUUAGGGGAUCGAAGACGAUCAGAUACCGUCGUAGUCUUAACCAUAAACUAUGCCGACUAGGGAUCGGACGAAGUUAAUUUUAUAAUGACGCGUUCGGCACCUUACG